AAUAGAUACCCGGGUAGUCCACGCCGUAAACGAUGAGUGCUAAGUGUUAGAGGGUUUCCGCCCUUUAGUGCUGCAGCAAACGCAUUAAGCACUCCGCCUGGGGAGUACGGUCGCAAGACUGAAACUCAAAGGAAUUGACGGGGGCCCGCACAAGCGGUGGAGCAUGUGGUUUAAUUCGAAGCAACGCGAAGAACCUUACCAGGUCUUGACAUCCUUCGCUACUUCUAGAGAUAGAAGGUUCCCCUUCGGGGGACGGAGUGACAGGUGGUGCAUGGUUGUCGUCAGCUCGUGUCGUGAGAUGUUGGGUUAAGUCCCGCAACGAGCGCAACCCUUGACCUUAGUUGCCAGCAUUCAGUUGGGCACUCUAAGGUGACUGCCGGUGACAAACCGGAGGAAGGUGGGGAUGACGUCAAAGUCAUCAUGCCCCUUAUGACCUGGGCUACACACGUGCUACAAUGGAUGGUACAAAGGGCUGCAAGACUGCGAAGUCAAGCCAAUCCCAUAAAACCAUUCUCAGUUCGGAUUGCAGGCUG
rnacentral:rRNA from 1 species